rnacentral:rRNA from 1 species
GAUGAACGCUAGCGGCAGGCUUAAUACAUGCAAGUCGAGCGGUAAGGCCCUUCGGGGUACACGAGCGGCGGACGGCUGAGUAACACGUAGGAACGUACCCCAAACUGAGGGAUAAGCACCAGAAAUGGUGUCUAAUACCGCAUGUGCUCUAAGGAGUAAAGCUUCGGCGGUUUGGGAACGGCCUGCGCACGAUUAGAUAGUUGGUGAGGUAAUGGCUCACCAAGUCGACGAUCGUUAGCUGGUCUGAGAGGAUGACCAGCCAGACUGGGACUGAGAACGGCCCAGACUCCUACGGGAGGCAGCAGUAGGGAAUUUUCCACAAUGGGGGCAACCCUGAUGGAGCAACGCCGCGUGCAGGAUGAAGGCCUUCGGGUUGUAAACUGCUUUUAUAUGUGACGAAUAUGACGGUAGCAUAUGAAUAAGGAUCGGCUAACUCCGUG